CUAGAGGGGAGUGGCAAAUUAAAAGCGACUUUCCAUCAAUAUGUGUUCUUAUCAAAACUGAGGAGUCGUAAAAAGAUUUAAACAACAACGUGGGCUUAUCAAAUUUCAUAUCGGUCGGUCGUUUGUCCAUUACCCCUGCGUAUGAGUUUUUGAAAACGGAGUCUCGUCCUCAGUGAAUCUUUCUUGUUGUCACGCUUGGCAUUCAUUUCAUUAGCAACCGGUUUCUGGCUACACAAACAAUUCGAUGUGAAAUAAGAUGAAUUGGGAAACCCACCCGCAUUCCAGAGAAUAAGUCGGCAAUUUCGGACAUAUGUAUAGCGGAUAUGACCUAACAUAUACAAAAGCCAUUCCAGGGCCAGCAUCGGCAAAAAAAGAACCGCAAAAAUUGCUGCACAUAUGGCAGUGGCAUCCGUGAGAUACAAAUCAGCUUUGAUCACCAUAAAAUAAUGUAAGCCAGAAUCAAGAAAGUGAAGAGGGGAAGUGGCUAAGUGUACAUAUAACCGUGGUUGUCACUUGAAGUGCUUAGCUCAAUAAACCAUGUUUUCAGCUUUUUCUCAACAAUUCCGAUUGGUGGCUGAGCGGCAAAACACUAAAAUCAACUUUCGACGCCGUAUCAUUUGGUUCUUACGCGAGGAUCUCGAAGUGCGGAAUGAGACCUCCUGCGGAGUAGUUGGUCCCAAGAAUGCCCAACACAAUUACCGCAAGAACCUACCUCGGCAUGUAAUAAAAUCCGUGCCGUCUGUGAUUUACU